AUGGCGGCGGCGGUUCCCUGCAAGGGGAGAGAGAGAGCGAGAGGAUUAGAGAGAGGGGAAGAUGAGGAGGAAAAGGAGAGGAAGGCGAGUUGGCCGGCGACCUGGGGCGCGGUGGAUCAUGACGAGACGGCGGCGACGCGAAGCAGCGAAGGGGGCUCCGGCGGGAAGCUCGGGGACGAGCGCUCGAGGUGCAGGCGGCACGGGCAGCGGGCCCGAUUCGGCCCGGCGGCGGGCCGCGGAUGGGCUCCGACGGGCCCUGCACGGUGGGAGGCGCGGGAGGACGUGCAGACGCCAAGUGGCGCUCCCAGAGUGGCUGGAGGCGACGAUGUGGCGGUGGCUGGCCACUAG
rnacentral:rRNA from 1 species